rnacentral:rRNA from 1 species
AUGCAAGUCGAACGAUGAACCUGGAGCUUGCUCUGGGGGAUUAGUGGCGAACGGGUGAGUAACACGUGAGUAACCUGCCCUUGACUCUGGGAUAACCUCCGGAAACGGAAGCUAAUACCGGAUAUGACGUACGGAGGCAUCUCCUGUGCGUGGAAAGAAUUUCGGUCAAGGAUGGACUCGCGGCCUAUCAGGUAGUUGGUGAGGUAACGGCUCACCAAGCCUACGACGGGUAGCCGGCCUGAGAGGGUGACCGGCCACACUGGGACUGAGACACGGCCCAGACUCCUACGGGAGGCAGCAGUGGGGAAUAUUGCACAAUGGGCGCAAGCCUGAUGCAGCAACGCCGCGUGAGGGACGACGGCCUUCGGGUUGUAAACCUCUUUUAGUAGGGAAGAAGCGAAAGUGACGGUACCUGCAGAAAAAGCACCGGCUAACUACGUGCCAGCAGCCGCGGUAAUACGUAGGGUGCAAGCGUUGUCCGGAAUUAUUGGGCGUAAAGAGCUCGUAGGCGGUUUGUCGCGUCUGCUGUGAAAACCCGAGGCUCAACCUCGGGCCUGCAGUGGGUACGGGCAGACUAGAGUGCGGUAGGGGAGAAUGGAAUUCCUGGUGUAGCGGUGGAAUGCGCAGAUAUCAGGAGGAACACCGAUGGCGAAGGCAGUUCUCUGGGCCGUAACUGACGCUGAGGAGCGAAAGCGUGGGGAGCGAACAGGAUUAGAUACCCUGGUAGUCCACGCCGUAAACGUUGGGCGCUAGAUGUGGGGACCAUUCCACGGUUUCCGUGUCGCAGCUAACGCAUUAAGCGCCCCGCCUGGGGAGUACGGCCGCAAGGCUAAAACUCAAAGGAAUUGACA